AGUGAACGCUGGCGGUAGGCCUAACACAUGCAAGUCGAACGGCAGCACAGGAGAGCUUGCUCUCUGGGUGGCGAGUGGCGGACGGGUGAGGAAUACAUCGGAAUCUACUCUGUCGUGGGGGAUAACGUAGGGAAACUUACGCUAAUACCGCAUACGACCUACGGGUGAAAGCAGGGGAUCUUCGGACCUUGCGCGAUUGAAUUAGCCGAUGUCGGAUUAGCUAGUUGGCGGGGUAAAGGCCCACCAAGGCGACGAUCCGUAGCUGGUCGGAGAGGAUGAUCAGCCACACUGGAACUGAGACACGGUCCAGACUCCUACGGGAGGCAGCAGUGGGGAAUAUUGGACAAUGGGCGCAAGCCUGAUCCAGCCAUACCGCGUGGGUGAAGAAGGCCUUCGGGUUGUAAAGCCCUUUUGUUGGGAAAGAAAUCCAGCUGGCUAAUACCCGGUUGGGAUGACGGUACCCAAAGAAUAAGCACCGGCUAACUUCGUGCCAGCCGCCGCGGUAA
rnacentral:rRNA from 1 species